rnacentral:rRNA from 1 species
GAUGAACGCUGGCGGCGUGCCUAAUACAUGCAAGUCGAGCGAAUGGAUUGAGAGCUUGCUCUUAUGAAGUUAGCGGCGGACGGGUGAGUAACACGUGGGUAACCUGCCCAUAAGACUGGGAUAACUCCGGGAAGCCGGGGCUAAUACCGGAUAACAUUUUGAACCGCAUGGUUCGAAAUUGAAAGGCGGCUUCGGCUGUCACUUAUGGAUGGACCCGCGUCGCAUUAGCUAGUUGGUGAGGUAACGGCUCACCAAGGCAACGAUGCGUAGCCGACCUGAGAGGGUGAUCGGCCACACUGGGCCUGAGACACGGCCCAGACUCCUACGGGAGGCAGCAGUAGGGAAUCUUCCGUAAUGGACGAAAGUCUGACGGAGCAACGCCGCGUGAGUGAUGAAGGCUUUCGGGUCGUAAAACUCUGUUGUUAGGGAAGAACAAGUGCUAGUUGAAUAAGCUGGCACCUUGACGGUACCUAACCAGAAAGCCACGGCUAACUACGUGCCAGCCGCCGCAGUAA